UGCUCUGGUUUUGUCUGUGGUGCAGUGAGGUCACUGUCUGGAGUUACUUUCUCCUGCGUUUUCUUUGCACGUGCUCGUAACAUAGAGCUGUGCCCCCUGACUCCCCUUCCAGCCGGCAUUCCAGUCCCAUUCUGUGUAGGAAUGUUCUGCUGAGCUGGCCUGGGACGCAGGGAAACAGUAUUUUCAAGGGUUUGAACAUGAACGCAUUCACGGUCCAGCAGACUUGCAGAGGAUGGCAUGUGGAGAUGUAUGCCCCUGCUUACAUCUCUCUCAGAUGGCUCUUCCACUGAGGACAGAAGACAGGCCUGGAGACCAUGUGACUCAGGGAUGAACUGCAGCUGGUUGACAAUUCUACAGAAGAUGUGCUUCGGCCUGCUUUCCUAAAACAGGUACACUUAGCUGAUUAAAGAGGUUUUUGUUCCGAGAAGAGUAUGCCCGGUGGCCUGAGGGCGGGGCCACAUCGGCGUCUCCCACCUCCCACCGGCCAGGCCUGUCCGUGGCUGCCAGAGCUUGUGACUCGUCGGGAGCUGCCCGCGGCUCAGGGCGAAGCAGGCCUCCUCCAUGCGUGCCAGCUCUUCCAGACCGCAGCUGAUAGUAACCGCGGCCCUGACCGCAAACCCGACCUGCGGCAGCCCUGGUGGCCUCUGGUGCUCAGCCAGUUGUGAGAGGAGAAAGUCAGCAUGCCUGCAGGGGUCUAGACGUCACACAGAUCCUGAGGGCGGGAGCAGGAACCACAGCUUCGGAGGACCUGGGACCCAAAGCCGAGAGACCACAGGGAUCCCAGGCUGUUGAAAUUGGCAUGGGAGGGAGGAAAACACUUGGUUAAAGAAGAUGGACACAGGAAGAAAGGCAGGACGUACUGGCACCUGGGAGUAUGACGCUCUCAUCAUGACUGAGACCAUAAGUGUGAUUUCUGUUUAGAAAGACAGUUACGAGCCAGUAUAUAAAAUGCUUGCAGUCACUUAAGGAAAGUAAUGCAUGUACUGCAAGGAUCUGAAUAUCUUAUCAGUCAUUAAAGUCCAGGGCAGUGCCCACAGGAGCCCCUGCAGGAUGCCACCCCAGCAGUCUGCCAAAGGGCCAGGGCCUGGGAUUUGCGUUUCCACAAGCUCCUGGUGCCAGAGCCCCACUCAGAGAAGGGUUGGUGCACACCCCCACUUCAUACUGCAGCCACCAAGUCCAGGUUUUUGCGGGCUGACACUGGAAAGGCCAUUUCUCAAUGGGGUCUCAGGGCAGUGUGCCCCCAACACUCCAGACCCAUCUUGUCAUUAGGCCACUUGAAACGUGGCCUCCAAGACAGUCCAGGCAAGGGAGGAGAGAGGCAGCCUGAACACCCAGCAGCCCAGAACACACGCACUGAAACCCCGGGGGAGCCAAGGUAGCCUCAGUGACCCUUCUCCCACAUGUCACUCCCCAGCAGCAGAUGGACCGUCCAACCAGCCAGUGCCCGAGAAGCGUGGCUGCCCCCGGCCCACAGGGAGGAAGAGGGGCACUUUCUGCAGAGCCUCCCGAGAGGGCCCCAUGCUGCCUGGGGAACAGGCGCGCGCCCAGCUGCCACUUGUGGACUUGGUGGGCGGCGAGUGUGCGGGUGAGUGAGAGAGCAUGAAGCCGUUCCCUUGGGGUACCUGGGGGUGCAGGGGUCCUGACAGAGCCGACAGGGAGCAGACCGCCCCAGGGAGUCCUCAGCCUGGCGUGCCUACAGAUGAUCUCCAGUCCCUUUACACCUCAUUGGACUGCCAUCCUACCAUGCAGCUGUCCACGGAAACCCAAAAAAUAGUGCUCUUUCAGCGGCUGUGCAGUGGUGACCUCAUUCCCAACUAGAGCUUCAAUGCUGGUGGCUGUGCAUAUGGUUCUUUCCUUGGCAUCGUGCAAAUUUGGUGCAAAUCCUACCUGUGUGGCUGGAUCCUUGCACCUUCUCAGGUGUGUCUGGAGUGACAGCCCUGAGGGAGACUUCAUUUAUCCACCGGAGCCUGGCGGCCCUCGCCGAUGUCCUGGGUGCCCUGUCGGAGUGCAGGGGCCACACCCUGUACCGGAACAGCAAACUCACCCACCUACUCCAGGAUGCUCUCAGUGACAGGGGCCUCUGCGGAGGGGAGCCUGUGUGUGCCUCACCGUGCAUCCCCUGCCCUGUGCACGGUCACUGCCACGGGCAGCUUGCACCUCCUCCCGGGACUUGCUGGCUCUCUAGGUCACUUGUCCCUUACCUCUGGUAUGUGCGUGACUGGCCCUUCUGGUUGGGUCCUGAGUCCUACACCAUGGCUUCCAUGCCCUCUCUGUCCUCCUACUGUGCACACAGUGGGUCUCCAGGUUGUGGGCCCUCUGCUGAGUUCUGGAUGCAUGCACGCUGUGCUGUGCCCUCAGGGCCGUGUGCACACUCACCUGUACCUUGUGUUGGCUGGGGCCCUUGGCAGCAGGUGGCAGAGACCCAGGCUGGGCCAGUUUAAGCAUGGGGCAGCCUGGGGGAUAGGGAGGAGUUGAACCAUCAGGCUGUGGGUUUGGGGGUUUGAGGUGGCACUGUAAUAGGUGGGAAGCUCCAGCUGGCAGGUGGGCUCCUGACGCUGAGCCUCCUGAUCAGACUGUCGCCAGAGGCAGCUCUCCACCAACCCAGGUGUCUGCCGGGGGCUCUGCGGGGUCCUCCCAAAUCUGCCAGUGGGUUCCGUGGCUUUCCUUCCUUGGACGACGCUGGUCACGGGAGGCUAGGGAGCUGCUUCCACAGGAAGCAACGGGGGAGAGGGAGUGAGCAGCAACACCAGGGGUGGGAAGGGGGCACACACGGGGCUCCGGCAGCUCGGCGCCCAUGGGUAACUGAGGGGAAAUGUUCUAGGGCUUCAUCUUUCUCUCGUCGGGGGGUCUGUCUCCCUGCACUCUGCCUCUCCACAGGGUGCUGAAGGGGCAGCUCCCCGUGGCAUUAUGCAGGUCGUGCUCUGAGAUACUCUGACUGGGUGUGCUCACCCCACUGGUGAGAGUGGUGGGCUGGCACGGGGCCUCUGUGGCCUGUCCCUGCACUGUGGGCAUCUCCAGGGGCCCCUCACUCCCCCUCUGAGCCUGCGUCUCACUGCUGGGCCCACCUGCAUGCCCAGGGCCUUAAGCCCUGGGAGGGGUGCAGCCCGGACAGAAAGCCCUAGGCUCCCCCUCCAUCCCCAUCCCUCCAUCUCCCUGUGUGGGCAGGGGCCCUGGUGUGUUUGGCCUGGGGGCACCGUGCAAAGCCGGGCCCCCGCACCCAGAAGCAGCCUGUGCCGAUUCUGGCUCCUGGUGCCCUGUGGCGGUCACUCCGUGCUGAGGGGCUGCAGCCAGGAGGCCAGGCUGGGUACCCUCUGGUGCCCUCCCAUCCAGCCUGGGCCCACCGCAUGUAGCCAGGCCAGUUUUCCUAUCUGGUGGCCGCUGCUGCCUUCCUCAAAGGUGGUGACGCAAAGCUGCCCAUGAUUCUGCGUGUCCCCUAGCCCGACGUGCAGCAGAGAUGCAGUGCCUGGAGGUGGGGGCCCAAGCCCAGCAGGUGGAGCAGGGCCAGGCUGGAGGGGGCCGUGCAGCCCCUGCAAGUCCAGGGGAGGGCGGCGCUGACGGGCACCCCUCCUACCAAUGCUUCCCUGUGGGUGCCUGCGUGCAUGCCCUCAAGAUGAACUCACCUCAUCUGGACUGAGUGAGCCCAGCUCCCCUCUGGGCACCCUGAGAUGAGCUCCCACAGUGACCACAGCAUGGGCUCUCUGAGGAGCCUCCUUGGGGCAUGGGUGGGCUUGGGGUACCCGGGGUGAGCCGCAGGCAGGAAGGGGUGCGUGCAGAGCAGCCUCAGUCCCUUGGCACAGGCCAGGCAAUGUCCUGGACUCAGACACAGGUUUCCCCCCCGGGCUUGGUCUCUCAUUGCGGCUGAGUCCCUGGACACAAGGCCCUGUUUUCUCAUCUGCAAAACAGGCCGCUGUGGGGAGCCGGCUGCCCAUAAGCCAGAGGGCAAACGCUUUAUUUGUGAGGCCUGCUCCAAGGACCGUUUCCCAAGCCCAUGUCCCGAGCUGCAUUUGAUGGGCGCCCCGUGGCACACCCAUGGCUCUCAGACCCCUGGGUCUGUGGACGGGACUCAGGCGUCCUGGGGUCCUGGGGUCUUGGGUGAGGAAGCAAUGCAGGAAGCAUGCAAAAAUCGGCCGGAAGCCCAGAGCCAGGUCUGCCUGUGUGAACGUUUAUCCUCCUAAAGGGACUGGAGGUCCAGACAGGCACCUCCAAGGGGGGGGCCACGUCAUCGCCUGGGGCUGCAUACCUGAGGCUGGUCCUCACUGUGCCCUGUGCAGGGCCCCAGGCAGAGCUCUGCACCGUCAUCCCACUGUCUCCAGCUCCGGAACCAGCCUGUGAGGGACAGAUGGCGGUCAUCCAAAGGAUGCUAGGCCGUGGACCCCACGGGGCCAGCAGCAGGUGACAACGCAGCUCCAUGUGCCCACAGCCUGGGCCUGAGCUGUUCUUCAGGGUAGAGCAGAGGGCAACCAGCCGGGGCGGGGAAGGCCCACUGCCCGCCGAAGCAUCUGCCUUUUUCCCACAAGCAUGGCCUUUGCCAUGUUCUCUGCCCUCCUCGCAGCCAUCACCUUCCUGCGGGUGAGAACUGGGCUGCAGAACAUGGAGCCUGCUGCUCUGGGUGCCCCUUGGGACUGUCCUGCGAGAUGGGCCACUGAUACCGAACCUGAGUC